rnacentral:rRNA from 1 species
CCUAGGGUGGCUGCAGUGGGGAAUAUUGGACAAUGGGGGGAACCCUGAUCCAGCCAUGCCGCGUGUGUGAAGAAGGCCCUCGGGUUGUAAAGCACUUUCAGUGAGGAAGAACGCCUGGUGGUUAAUACCCAUCAGGAAAGACAUCACUCACAGAAGAAGCACCGGCUAACUCCGUGCCAGCAGCCGCGGUAAUACGGAGGGUGCGAGCGUUAAUCGGAAUUACUGGGCGUAAAGCGCGCGUAGGUGGCUUGAUAAGCCGGUUGUGAAAGCCCCGGGCUCAACCUGGGAACGGCAUCCGGAACUGUCAAGCUAGAGUGCAGGAGAGGAAGGUAGAAUUCCCGGUGUAGCGGUGAAAUGCGUAGAGAUCGGGAGGAAUACCAGUGGCGAAGGCGGCCUUCUGGACUGACACUGACUCUGAGGUGCGAAAGCGUGGGUAGCAAACAGGAUUAGAUACCCGAGUAGUC